rnacentral:tRNA from 1 species
GCCUGGGUGGCUUAGUUGGUUAAGCGUCUGACUUCAGCUCAGGUCAUGAUUUCAUGGCUUGUGGGUUUGAGCCCCACGUUGGGCU